UACAGGUGCUGCAAGUUGCCUCGGCAGCGCGAUCUGACUUUGAGGCUACGGGGAGACUUGUGCUCUCUUAGCGCCAGGCCUUGGCUCUUACCAAGUUGCACAUCCAGCUUUGCUGCUCAUCGGUCAAGCGUCUCCCAUCUCUUCACCCCAACUCCUGACAUUUCCUUUCCCUCUCACUAUUCAGAGUCCAGGCUCUCAAAGCCUGGACCAGAAAUCCCGAGUUAUCCCAUCGGGCGACUCAGGCAAAAGGGGAAUUGGCAGAGAGGAUCAGUGCUUCAGAUAGAAAAAGAUGGGGAGAUAACCACUCAUCGACUUGUUCAACAACCAUUUGUUAGGCCUCUGACAACAGCUCUGAGAGGCACUGAUGGGACCCUGGACUGUGGAUGCAGCAGGACACGGGUUCUCUUCGGCCUCGGGGGACCUGCGUGGUGUGUUGGGGACCCGCCCAGACUCAGUGCCCAGACUCCUCAAGGCCUGCCUACCUGGAGGGGGGAGGAAGGCAAGGAGGUGGUUAUUCCAUGGAGAGGAAAAUCAACUAUUGUGAGAUCAAGGCAGCUGCUUGUCCCUUGGCUUCACUCACUGGCCAAACUAGCUAAAUUCCUUUCACACAGGAUUCAGCUAACCACAAUAGCUGUGGGUAAUGGAAGAGAAGCAAAGUUUGCAAGGAAGGGAGAUAGAAGCCAGCUGGAGAACACUCGUGCAGUCAUCACAUGGGUACAGCUGCAGAUGGAAGGGUCCAUGUUAUCGAUGCUUGGUUAAAGAGAAGUUUUCUUCAUCCGGACUGUACUAAAUAAAGUAUUAUUUGUAUUUGUAAGCA
rnacentral:lncRNA from 1 species